AGCACCAUUUCUUAACCCAUUUUAGAAGAGCUUGCUUUAAUGUUCCUCUCUAUGCUCUGUUGCAUGAAAUUAAGGAGAAACACUACUGUUACUUUACAAAAGAAACAAAUAUGUUCUUAUUUGAAGAUAAAGAAAGCUGGCAUUAGCAGAGUAAUUAUAUACAGGUAUGUUAGACAAAAUAAUUAACUUGUUUAGAAGUGAUUGUUGCAAAGGAGAUGUCUGCACCUGCCUUCCCGAGUUUCUAUGUUAUGAGAGGAAUUGAAAAAAUAACUGUGCAAGUCCAGUGGCAGCUUCGGAGGGGGCCUUUGCCACCAUCUAUUGGUGAACGAGGGGAAGAGGCAGAGUGAUCUGACCUUGCUGAUGUUCCCUUCUGUACCCAGUGCAAGAUUUGUCUCCUUUCGAGGUUCUGGGGUAACAAACCUGUAUUUUCUUCAUCUUUCUGUGUGAGAGUGCAACACGACUGUAGUUAUGCCCCCUGAAGAACUGUCAUCAACAAAUCUUAACAGCUGGCCUGCUGUCCCACACACCUCUCAAUGGAGCAGAAGAGAGCUUAAUGGACCCACCACAGAGAAAUGAAUUGAGAAUAAAGAAAUGCGUCUCAUCUCAAGAUGAUAUGAAAAAGACUUCUGAAGUUAUCUUAAGACUGUUUCUGUGGGGCUGCUGGCACAAUGUUCCCAGGAAGUGCACAUGCCUGUUGUAACCCAAAGAAACCUGGAUGGUAGCUGAUGAGGAAUGACACCUCACAAAUAACGAAUGUUUGUUCUAAGAUUGUGGAAUCCUGUGGUCUGCUCGAGAUUCAAGGGUCUGUGAGGAGUCCAAAGAGGAAGAGGCAAAAACUUGAAAUUGUAGUCUAAAGCAGCCUCAGGAACAUCCUUUCCAAGCUCAACGCAAACACUGAUGUCUGGAGCUGGAUCUCCCAACUAACAUGGUGUAGCACAUCUGUUUUCUAAGCAGCAUCCUACAAAGAAUGCAGAGGCAAGAAGAUUUGAGAGAGUUCCUGGGAGUGAUGAUAUGGACAGAGCAGACAUAAGAGGCAAUAUGAAUUAAAGAGGAUGUUGGGAAAGUGCAUGAAUUUUUAGGAGUGGGAUAAGCUCACCCACUUUUUGAUUUCAUGCUAAAUACAUCAUGCCCCUGUCUCCAGCAGAAGGGCAGGAAGAUGCAUAGAAACUGAACUUCUUAGCUGGGAUUAUCUCAUAAGGCAACCUUAAAUUUUGGCAGCAAGUCAAAGGUUUACAGCACAUCAAGAAAUGAAACAUGAGGACAGUUCAUGAUGCUGCUAUCAACUCUCUCUCUAUCAACAUCCAACAAGCAGAGAUUUUAAAACCAGAAAGACAAGCAAGACAAGACAAUGCUCAAGAAUUUUAAGUGUGGUGAAAGCAAUAAUUUUGUCCCUGUUGCAACAUUCAGCUCAGGACAUAUCUCACUGCAGUCCAUUAUCUGACCAGUCGAGCCUGCAGAAACAGGGCAUCUUACUUAAUUGGAAAAAUGCACUGAUGCAGAAAAGGUACAUGCAACUUCUUGCACCAGCUAUACCUUUUAAAAAAUGCAUCAUUACAAAGAUGACAAACUGCCAUUGGAUCUUUGAUCUGAAAGAUUUUUGGGAGCUGCUGGAGUCAGAAAUUAGAAGGACUGAGCCGAAAAUUCCUUUCAUGUCCUAUUAUGGAAUAAAUGUAUAAAGAAUGACUGUACUGGGAAGCACCAGGUGAGAAUCUUUAGAAGCUCUUCAAAGCCAUCAGUGAAAUCUGCUUCAAGAGUCCUACUUCAUUUUCCACUUACCAGUGUUCUACAGGUAGACUGUGUUCCAAUGUGCUUUACAGAGUUAAAUAACAUAGCUACCUGGAUAAAUAACAGUAGAAGGAGUAGUCAGUCACAGCAAAUUAUAGACUUGGGGAACCUGUUUUUCAGCUGAGAUUUAAAAUGAAGUGGCAAAAUUACAGUGUAUUAUUCUACUCCACAGCGGCCAGAAGAUUUUAGCAAACUCCACGACACCUGAAAGCUGUCAAAUAAAAAACAAAAUUAAUCAGACAAGAAGAGUGACUGGAAGAGUUCAAUGACCUGAGCCUUACUGACACAACCUCAAUUGAAAAUGAACCUCUUUGACACCAGAUCAAACAUAACAUGACAUUAAUUUUCUUCCUUCUGACCUUGCUUGACUGAACGUGCUGGAGCACUUAAUUAUUUAUGCUCACAUCAGAAGGACCUAAUAGGAGAGUCCAGUGGUAGCCAGGCCCUUCGGUGGCCCGUCCAGUAGUGCAGGGUGUGAGCUUGGGCAGUUCAUUCCUGGAGUAGGGUCCAAAGUUUGAAAAUCCUUGUUGGUGGGCAAUUGUGAACUGUUUCCCUUGAUCCUGAUACCAGAGCAGGUUUCCAAGUCACCAACUGCAAAACCAGCAUUCUUCUGGAGGUGAAAAGAGCAAAUCUCAACCUGAAAAAUACAGUAGAAAUAUCUCGGUUUACACCCACUGAGAAGUGUGAUAAAGCAGCUGUAGCUGAUCAGCUUCUGUAUUCUUAGCUCAGACACAAAUCAUAAUCAGAGACAGUUUUAACAUUUUGAAUAGUGUGGGGAGAAAAAGAUGGAGAUACAUACCAUAAUAUAUCAUCUGAAAAGGUCUUGUAGGCAUAGUCAUCAACUGUUUAAAGAUUUCACCAUUCAUAUAUCUUUUUUAACUGUCUGUUUCUUUCAGAACUUGUACACUUUAGAUUUGACAUGCUUCAGGCAGAGAGGUGAUAGCACUAAAAUACCAUGUCCCAAGCCUAAAGAAACACAAAUAAUGCUGUAGAAGUUGAACACAUUCUACCACUGGCUCAUUUUUUUACUGCAGAAAUGUUGAUUUAGUUAGAUCCUUAACUUUCUUUUCCCUGUAGUACCCUCAGCAUCCCAGUAACAAAAAGCCAUCUGCUUUUUCCAGCCUCCAUUUAACACCCGAGCAGGAGGAGUCAUGCUGUGCCCAGCAUUAUUUGCACUCAUGAGGAAGAAAUGGGAAUAUGUUCAAUGCACUUUUUAGGGUUUGCCUAACAACUUUGGAAAUCAGUGGCAAGAUUCACCCUGAUGUUAGGAGCUUGCACAUAUAUUGCUCAUUUAAAAUACCAUAUUUAAGGUGCUCCCCAUAGAUUUCUCCUUCUACCACAAUAAAACCCACAAGAUGCACUCCACAGGAAUUUGGAGGGGUAAGCAUCUCACUCCAGGUAUGCUCUGUGCUCGUUUUAGAGCCUGACAAAUGUUAAAUAAUUAAUCUGCAGUUAUUUUGUGGGAAUAGUUGUUGUGUUAAUACCAAAGACUUGUAAGCGUGAAGGAUAUAAAUGUUACAUUUGAUAAGAAUUCUACAAGAACACCUAUCUUUGUUAACCUUAGUGAGUUGGUGUUGUUAAUGACAUUCUGGGAUUUGGAAUUUGUGAAAAAAAAAAGUCUUCUGUAUCUAUACCCUCUGCAUCUGUAAAUGUUCACUUGUAAGAAAUACAUUCAACAUUUGAGAUGCUCUGCUUUGUAAUUUCUGCAGUAGAGCUUUACAUACUUUUGCCUAAUUAAUUUUUGGCUUAAUCUUUCUAAACUUGAAGAUAUAUGGACUGAAUUUUGCUCAU